CUUGCUUCUCUUGAGAGCGGCGGACGGGUGAGUAAUGCCUAGGAAUCUGCCUGGUAGUGGGGGAUAACGUUCGGAAACGGACGCUAAUACCGCAUACGUCCUACGGGAGAAAGCAGGGGACCUUCGGGCCUUGCGCUAUCAGAUGAGCCUAGGUCGGAUUAGCUAGUUGGUGGGGUAAUGGCUCACCAAGGCGACGAUCCGUAACUGGUCUGAGAGGAUGAUCAGUCACACUGGAACUGAGACACGGUCCAGACUCCUACGGGAGGCAGCAGUGGGGAAUAUUGGACAAUGGGCGAAAGCCUGAUCCAGCCAUGCCGCGUGUGUGAAGAAGGUCUUCGGAUUGUAAAGCACUUUAAGUUGGGAGGAAGGGUUGUAGAUUAAUACUCUGCAAUUUUGACGUUACCGACAGAAUAAGCACCGGCUAACUCUGUGCCAGCAGCCGCGGUAAUACAGAGGGUGCAAGCGUUAAUCGGAAUUACUGGGCGUAAAGCGCGCGUAGGUGGUUUGUUAAGUUGGAUGUGAAAUCCCCGGGCUCAACCUGGGAACUGCAUUCAAAACUGACUGACUAGAGUAUGGUAGAGGGUGGUGGAAUUUCCUGUGUAGCGGUGAAAUGCGUAGAUAUAGGAAGGAACACCAGUGGCGAAGGCGACCACCUGGACUAAUACUGACACUGAGUGCGAAAGCGUGGGGGAGCAAAC
rnacentral:rRNA from 1 species